GCCUAACAAGCACAGAUUCGUACCUUUAUGCGCAACAAGAAGAAGCAAAAAGCAAAUUAAAAAAUUUCAAUCCCACAACAAUGAUAUGCAAGUUUACAAAAUCAAAUCCCAAAACAAGAUUAACAAAACAUCAACAAAAUCCCACAGCAAGCACAGAUUCAUAUCUUUAUGCCCAACAAGAAGCAAUAAGCAAAUUAAAAAAUUUCAAUCCCACAACAAUGAUAUGCAAGUUUACAAAAUCAAAUCCCAAAACAAGAUUAACAAAACAUCAACAAAAUCCCACAGCAAGCACAGAUUCAUAUCUUUAUGCCCAACAAGAAGCAAU
rnacentral:misc_RNA from 1 species